GUCAACAACCAUACCAUGUUGACUGCACCGGUUCGCGUCCGAUCACCAAAGUUAAGCAACAUCGGGCAUGGCUAAUAUUUAUAACAAUUACUAGACAACAAUAAACAAAAUUAAAACAUUAUUUUGCUUGUUGUCU
rnacentral:rRNA from 1 species